CUCCUCUCAGGGCCGCACCUGGAGAGUUUCCAGUACUCUACCAGUCACGACUACACGAGGGAGAGUUAUGCAGAGGCCUGCCUAUUCCAUUUCUAGCUUGGGCAGUGGCUAGUCAGUGGAAGGCAAUCUGCUACAAGU
rnacentral:snoRNA from 2 species